AUUGAACGCUGGCGGCGUGCUUUACACAUGCAAGUCGGACGAGUGGCGAACGGGUGAGUAACGCAUCGGAACGUACCGAGUAAUGGGGGAUAACUGUCCGAAAGGUCAGCUAAUACCGCAUAUUAUUCGAGCGGCCUAUGUCUGAUUAGCUGGUUGGCGGGGUAAAGGCCCACCAAGGCCACGAUCAGUAGCGGUUCUGAGAGGAUGCUUCGCGACACGGGGACUGAGACACGGCCCUGACUCCUACGGGAGGAAGAAGUGGGGAAUUUUGGACAAUGGGCUCAAGCCUGAUCCAGCCAUGCCGCGUGUCUGAAGAAGGCCUUCGGGUUGUAAAGGACUUUUGUCAGGAAAGCGGUACCUGAAGAAAAAGCACCGGCUAACUACGUGCCAGCAGCCGCGGUAAUUC
rnacentral:rRNA from 1 species